CACACGACUCUCGGCAAGGAUAUCUCGGCUCUCGCAUCGAUGAAGAACGUAGCGAAAUGCGAUACCUGGUGUGAAUUGCAGAAUCCCGCGAACCAUCGAGUCUUUGAACGCAAGUUGCGCCCGAGGCCACCCGGCCGAGGGCACGCCUGCCUGGGCGUCACGC
rnacentral:rRNA from 3 species